CACACACACCCUCACAACCCUCAGACACAUACACUCAUACCCCCUCACACACACACACACACCCUCAUACACUCACACAUACACCCACACACACUCACACACACAUACACACACUCAGCCCUCACACUCACCCUCGCACACUCUCACACACUCACAACAGAACACACAACACACUCACACACCCUCACACAUACACCCUCACACUCACCCUUACACACUCACACUCACACACACACACACCGCGGUCAGGCUGGGAGGGGAUCGCCGUGUUGGGGGGCUGCUUUGGUGGGGUGGAGUCACCCCUCUGGCCUCAGUUCCCUUUCCUCUCUGGGAGGGCGUGGGGGAGGGCUCUCCUUUAUCAGCCCCAGCGAACAAACCAAAGGCCCUUGCGGGCAGGCUGGUCUGGGACAGGCAGGGUCCCUAUCCACUUACCUGUGGGCAGAGGACAGACGCCCCCAGCACCAGGUUAGCUCCAGAGCCCACCGGCAGCCAGCGGCCCACACGGUGGCAGCUCGCAAGCCGGGUGUGCGCUCAGCACGGCACUCAGGACAGCCUGGCACUCCUGGGGGGGAACACACUCAGGACAGCCUGGCACUCCUGGGUGGGGAACACACUCAGGACAGCCUGGCAGUCCUGGGGGGGAACGCACUCAGGACAGCCUGGCACUCCUGGGGGGGACGCACUCAGGACAGCCUGGCACUCCUGGGGGGGACGCACUCAGGACAGCCUGGCACUCCUGGGGGGGACGCACUCAGGACAGCCUGGCACUCCUGGGGAGGACACACUCAGGACAGCCUGGCACUCCUGGGGGGGACGCACUCAGGACAGCCUGGCACUCCUGUGGGGGUGAACACACUCAGGACAGCCUGGCACUCCUGGGGGAACACACUCAGGAUAGCCUGGCACUCCUGGGGGGGAACACACUCAGGACAGCCUGGCACUCCUGGGGGGGACGCACUCAGGACAGCCUGGCACUCCUGGGGGGGACGCACUCAGGACAGCCUGGCACUCCUGGGGAGGACGCACUCAGGACAGCCUGGCACUCCUGGGGGGGACGCACUCAGGACAGCCUGGAACUCCUGGGGGGCACACUCAGGACAGCCUGGCACUCCUGGGGGGGGGAACACACUCAGAAAAGCCUGGCACUCCUGGGGGGGAAGGACUCAGGACAGCCUGACACUCCUGGGGGGGGAAGCGUCUGCAGGGGGGCCCGCCCUUCCAGCAGCUGUGCCCAGCCCCAGCCCCAGCCCUCAGGGCGCACACCUGUGGGCCUCCAGCGGCUGUGGGCCCCGCCUCCACAUCAGUCAGGGGUCCCAGCCCCGGGCUGUGAGACUCAACCAGAAAACACACUCUGCCCACCCCUCCCCCCCCCACCGCGGCAGGUUGCCAUGA
rnacentral:lncRNA from 1 species